UGGGGAAUAUUGCACAAUGGGGGAAACCCUGAUGCAGCGACGCCGCGUGAAGGAAGAAGUAUUUCGGUAUGUAAACUUCUAUCAGCAGGGAAGAAAAUGACGGUACCUGAGUAAGAAGCCCCGGCUAACUACGUGCCAGCAGCCGCGGUAAUACGUAGGGGGCAAGCGUUAUCCGGAUUUACUGGGUGUAAAGGGAGCGUAGACGGUAAUGUAAGUCUGAUGUGAAAGCCCGGGGCUCAACCCCGGGACUGCAUUGGAAACUAUGUAACUAGAGUACCGGAGAGGUAAGCGGAAUUCCUAGUGUAGCGGUGAAAUGCGUAGAUAUUAGGAGGAACACCAGUGGCGAAGGCGGCUUACUGGACGGAAACUGACGUUGAGGCUCGAAAGCGUGGGGAGCAAACA
rnacentral:rRNA from 1 species